UACGUAGGGGGCGAGCGUUAUCCGGAGUUACUGGGCGUAAAGCGCACGCAGGCGGUCAGAUUAGUCUGUCGUGACAGUCGUCGGCUUAACUGACGAAGUACGAUGGAAACUGUCUGACUUGAGGGCUUCAGAGGGACACGGAAUUCCGGGUGGAGUGGUGAAAUGCGUAGAUAUCCGGAGGAACACCGAUGGCGAAGGCAGUGUCCUGGGAAGUACCUGACGCUCAGGUGCGAAAGCUAGGGGAGCAAACGGG
rnacentral:rRNA from 1 species